UUUCUGAACAUUUCACAUAACUUUAUAUCAUUUUCACAUAACUUUAUAUCAUUUUCAUGUGAACACAAUCCGCCCUUUUCAUCCUGUAAGAUAACAGGGCACAGCUGCUUCUUCUCGUCUUUGUGCAGGGUGCCUCCUAUCUCAAGUCCUCAAGGUCGUAAGACUGUGCCUCCUUCCCAACACACACACAUGUAUUGUAACUCUAUAAAAACUGUUAGCUCCCUUUGUCUGCAGAUUCACUCUGUGCAGACUUUUUUUCACUGUACCUUGUGCUCUCCUGGUUGCAAUCUAAUAAACCUUUUUUGCUUACGACUCAGUAAUCUUAUAUAACGAUUUUUGCCACUACAAUUUGGUGUCAGAAGUGGGAUCGCCCGGGAGUCCGUCAGGAUCGUCGGGACAUCGGGGGUGGCCACCUGAUCUUCAGGAUCAUCAUCUAACUUCCAGUCAAAAUUCAGAGAAGGGAGGACCGACGUCCGGCGCGAUCCCCGACCGAACCUACACUCUCCUGAUUUUGGUGAGAUGUUGAAUUUCCAUUUUCUAAAAUUUUAUGAUUAAUAAUUCUGAUAAUUUUGGCAGUAAUGAUUAAUUGAAUGACAUUGGUAACGUAGUAUUUCUGAGUCUUUGGAGUAAAGCAUUUAGAAUUGGUCUGGUGUACUCCCCGUUCACUAAAAUAAUUUACUGCAGUCUAAGAUUCACUCCUACUAAGACCAGGUUAAAAUCCUGUGAAGUAGCCAAGUGUGAUUUUAUAUCAAGACCAGGUUAAAAUCCUGUGAGAUGUAAAGUUAUAUCAAGACCAGGUUCAAAUCCUGUGAGAUGUAAAGUUAUAUUAAGACCAGGUUCAAAUCCUGUGAGAUAUAAAAUUAUAUUAAGACCAGGUUAAAGUCCUGUGAGAUAUAAAGUUAUAUUAAGACCAGGUUAAAAUCCUGUGAGAUAUAAAGUUAUAUUAAGACCAGGUUAAAAUCCUGUGAGAUAUAACAAAAGCAGUUAAAUAAAUAAAUACAUAAUUAAAUUAAAUUAAAGAAACUGAAUUAAAUAAAAGAAACUGAAAAAAUUAAAGAAACUGAGAAAGAUGUACGAUGUCUGAAAGUGUGGAAGGAUGAAUGUGAUUUACAAAAAGAAAAAGAUAAGUUGAUGAAGAAAGGCAAAGUUAAAAAAAAAAAAUAAAUAAAAAAUUAAAGAAAUUGAGAAACAUGUAGGAUGCCUGAAAGUGUGUGAGGAUGAAUGUGAGCGUAGGGAAAGAAAGCAGGGCCUUCAAACCAUGACACUGUUAAAAGCUGAAGAGGGAUCACAAACAGAUAAAGUUGCAAAAUCAAAGAUUAAAUCCAAGUCUUCUCUGUAUCCUUCUCUAACAGGUCAUGGUGGCGGGCCCCUGAGCAGCGACACUCUCCUCGAUCUGCCCCCCCCUGCAACCCCACCCGGAAUGUUCCGCCUGCUGACGCCGCCUCCCCUCAAAGACAGCCCCUCCAGUGACAUCAGCAUCACCACCAACCAGCAGUGCCCUCAGCAGCGCCAGAGGUCCACAAUCACCACAGAGGAGAAACGUUCACACUCCCAAUGGUCCAAAUGAUGGGACAUGAAGGCGCAGCUGGUUAUGUCUACCGCCCGUGGACAGUAGCCGACCUGCUCCAAGCAGCUGAAAACCCCCCUAAAGUCACACAGGGAGGUCAAGUCCUCAGUGAGGUAGUGAUGGCCUUUAUCAGAUACUUCACACCAACUUCCAGUGAAAUGGGCCGCGUUAUGAUGAGGAAGCUGUCCGGAGCAGACUUUGCUAAGAUCAGACAACACUUCACUGACCACAUCCAGCCCUCCACCAUUGACCCGCAGACUGCUGCAGAUGCGAUCUCUCCAUGGUCAACGCCUGCACGCCUCCUCCAGGAUAUGGAGGACCGCCUCGGCGACGGUGGACACCUCAGCCGGAACCAGGCCUCAGACUGACCGUCCGGGGGUAAGGUGGAAGGGAGGGUGCCCGUUGACCAGACGCCCAGCCAACCUGCUCCACACAAGGGAAGUGAAAACACACACACGCGCACGCUUACACCGCAGCAACAACACAAGAUAUUGACAAAUGCUAUCACUCAUUUAGAAAAGAAAAUACAAACACAGCCUGUUGGUACAUAUGUACAUCUUACUGAUGAAAGUGUGCAGAAAUUACCUACUAUGACUUUAGAAGUCCAAGGCCAAAAUGUUGAUUUCAUUGUUGAUUCAGGUGCUACUCACUCUGUUUUAAAACAACCUGUGUUUCCAAACAUUAGAUAUAGUGGCAGAAACAUAAUUUCCAUUGGUGCGUGUGGUAACAGGAUCAGAGAACAUUUCACCAUUCCUAUUUCAUGUGUACAUCCUGUACCUUUAACCAAAAUUAAAAACUAUUUUCUCUCCUCUGCUGUCUGUCCUUUCAACCUGAUGGGACGAGACCUGAUGUGACUCUGGGAGUGGACCUCAUCUCGACACCAGAUGGCGUUAAAGCCGUGCGAAGAGGGUCCUCCACCUCCCCCCUGCAAAGUGACCCUGUGGUAACGUACCAAUUAGCCAGUUGGCUACCUGAAAACCUGCUCUAUGUGUACCAAUGGAAAAUCCCUAUUGAUGGUCAACCCGGCUUCGCAGUUUUUGCGAUCUGAGGCUCUACACUGCACAUCACACGUGGCUCAUGACCAUGACCUCGACUUUGAACACGUUUUCUUUGCUGACGUCAAUGACAACCUCAUGACUGACACCCUCUACUGGUCGCAGACGAGAUGUGCACUCUCAGUGACGUUGACUGACAAACAGUUACCCUUUUACCAUGAACCAGGUUCACAUCUACACAUUUCACUCUCCAAACCAAAUUCUGACCAAUGGAGAGACUUGGGCCCAUGGGUACAUUUUUGUGCAACUUUUUCCGAUUGGACACGAACUCCUGACCCUGCUGUGAUGUAUUCAUCAAAAGGGGGGGUUUACAAAUCAUUUUGCAAACUCAGUUUACCCUGCCUCAGAUCAGUGCAUGUACUGAUUGAUGCAGACAGGGUGGAAGGGGAAACUGCUGUGUUACUGUCUGCUACUGAGGUUCACCCUGCCUUAAAGGAAGUCUCUGACUCCUUAUGGGCAAAUGGCAAAUAUGAUGUAGGCCUGAUUAAAAACUGCAUACCUGUUUUUGUUACACCUAAAUCUGAUUACAGGCCAUUUGGAAGCAUAGGGGCUUCCUGAAGAGUGAUGGAGAGCCCAUCCUACAUCACUCUCUCAUUGCUGACCUCCUAGAAGCUGUUUUGUGUGUUGCUAUGUGUAAAUGUGCUGCUCACACUAACUCCUCUGACCCUGUUUCUACAGGAAAUGCAUGAGCAGGCUGCGUCUCUUCUUCUGCUCCCCCAGCAGACACACACACACACUCUCAGUUCCCUCUCUGUCGCCGACUCACUCUCUGCAGUACAGACUCUAGCCUCUCCUUCUGACGAGAAUCAGUGGCAGUCUGUUUCCCCAUUAUGCUAAGUUGUCAGGUUAUGAUUGAUCAACAUUGGUUCACUAAAGGUUUUUCAACCUAUGCUCAAAAACAUUGCCAAGCCUGUGUCAUUUGUGCCUACCACCUGGCCAGUGGUGGCGUUGUUGAGCGUGAGAAUGGGACAUUGAAGAACAAAUUGGCCAAAUGUUGCGAAGACACAGGCCUCAAAUGGACACAAGCACUCCCUUUAGUGCUUGUGUACAUGAGGAUGCGCAAGCGACCUAAUACUAACCUCAGCCCUUAUGAGAUUCUUUUUGCAGCUCCUCCCUUUGUAGGUGUGGACGCCCCGAAGUUUCCAGCUUCACCUACCACACUAUGUGAGGAUGCUAUGCUAACGUAUUGUGCUAAUCUUACCAAACACCUUGCAAACAUUAGGAGACAGGUGACUGCUGCCCUUCCAAAUCCAGCCACCGGUCCUCUCCAUCAGCUCCACCCUGGUGAUUACGUGGUGGUGAAAGACUUCAGGCGUAAGUCCUGGAAGCAUAAGAGGUGGCAGGGCCCAUUCCAGGUCCUGCUGACAACCCAUUACGGCCGCGAAAGUCGCUGAGAGGACCACCUGGAUCCACGCCAGCCACUGCAGGAAGGUCCCGCCUCCUCUGGACCCUCUGCCAGGCCAAGGUUGAGGCGUGCCAAGCCUCCAACUUUAGGGUGAGGUGAAAUAGCGCUCCCCUGUGACAAGAGACUGCCAAGUCUCCAAGAUCAGCCAGAAGUGUAAUAAGCGCUCUGACUGCAACACGUGGUGCCAAGCCACUAGUCUAGGCUCUGUCUCUUCCCCCUCUCUCUUCUGUCCACAGAUUUAUACACCGACACACUGGACUCUGACACACGGUGUUGAGAGUGUUGUGACUAGCAGGUUGAAUUAGCAACCUGUGACAUCACAAGUGCCAGUCCCAGGCAUACGCAGUUACACUGCUCUCACACCCUGCCAUAGUUUCCUUUUGCGACACCUGCGGCGUGGUCUCCAUAACAAAGGACAGGAUCUGGUGACACAUUUUUUCUUGUUGUCUUGAUUUUCUCUUUGGGUUUUGUUUUCAUUUGUCUUUUGUUUAUUGCUUUCUUCCUGAUUCUCAAAGCCCUUAACCUUUAGGCUAUGGAACGUGACCACCCCUGGCAUCCCUUUCGUGCCACUGGCCUUUGUGGCCUCCGUGGUACCUUCUGUUGCUUUGCCCUGCUCGCUUUCCUUAUAGUGUUCACCCUACUCUAUUUCCUACACCCUCCUUCCCCACCUUACGCUAACUCCUCCCUCUCCCUUAACCACUCUUCCUCCUGCUCCCCACCUCCGUGUACGUCCAAUUCUGACCUCUUCUGACUCUAACGUUACCUCUCUUGCCUGGCUCACACAGGGCUGCCUGUUAGGACUUUCUUCUGAUGGCUCUUCUUCUUCCUGUUUGUUACUUGUGUUGUCCCCCUGCUUUAAGGCUUUGUUUCCUCUAUGUUCACUACUCAGCUCCUUGGGAAUGAACUCAUUCCCUUGCCUGACCCCACCCCACUUCCUCCUGCUUUCCAGUCUGCCCUUGCCUCUGUUGACACUUUCUCUGAAUCCAUUUUUGACUCUGACUCUGAUGUUAAUGAUGAUGCUGAUAUGUAGGUUGACUUUAUGCCCCACUGUGCUUUGUUCAUUACACGAGAAGACUGUCCUCCUUAAAAAAAACAAAAAAAAAAACAGCAUUGCUCUCUCCCUUGAGUCUAUUUCACUGUUGCCAUUAUUGAUGAUGAUCGGUCUUAAACCAGGAAUGUUCAGUCUGAUACUGUUUAAUGGUGAUUCUUUUGUACAUUUCUUUAUGGGUUUUUUGCUUUUGUUUUCCUUGUUGGUUGUGUUUGAUCUUUUCUCUGGUUGAUCCUUACGGAUCAAAAGGGGGAAAUGUUAUGACAAAGUGCCAUGCGUAUGCAGUUUCACAUAACUUUCUGAACAUUUUCACAUAACUUUAUAUAAUUUUCACAUAACUUUAUAUAAUUUUCAUGUGAACACAAUCCGCCCUAAGAUAACAGGGCACAGCUGCUUCUUCUCGUCUUUGUGCAGGGUGCCUGCUAUCUCAAGUCCUCAAGGUCGUAAGACUGUGCCUCCUUCCCAACACACACACAUGUAUUGUAACUCUAUAAAAAAUGUUAGCUCCCUUUGUCUGCAGAUUCAUUCUGUGCAGACUUUUUGACUGUACCUUGUGCUCUCCUGGUUGCAAUCAGAAUAAACCUUUUUUGCUUAUGC